rnacentral:rRNA from 1 species
UACGUAGGGUGCAAGCGUUGUCCGGAAUUAUUGGGCGUAAAGAGCUCGUAGGCGGUCUGUCGCGUCGGCUGUGAAAACUCGGGGCUCAACUCCGAGCUUGCAGUCGAUACGGGCAGGCUAGAGUUCGGCAGGGGAGACUGGAAUUCCUGGUGUAGCGGUGAAAUGCGCAGAUAUCAGGAGGAACACCGGUGGCGAAGGCGGGUCUCUGGGCAGUAACUGACGCUGAGGUGCGAAAGCGUGGGGAGCAAACAGG